UACGAAGGGGGCUAGCGUUGCUCGGAAUUACUGGGCGUAAAGCGCACGUAGGCGGCUUCUUAAGUCGGUGGUGAAAUCCUGGAGCUCAACUCCAGAACUGCCUUCGAUACUGGGAAGCUCGAGUCCGGGAGAGGUGAGUGGAACUGCGAGUGUAGAGGUGAAAUGCGUAGAUAUUGCUCGGAAGGCCAACGGCGAAGGCAGGUUACUGGUACGCAACUGACGCUGAGGCACGAAAGCGUGGGGAGCAAACAGG
rnacentral:rRNA from 1 species